GGUCACAAGACUGUAACGUAUCUGACCCUUCAAGGCAAUGACCAGGAUGAUAUGUUUCCCGCAUUGUGUGAGGUCUUGAGACAUCCAGAAUGUAACCUGCGAUAUCUCGGGUUGGUGUCUUGUUCCGCUACCACUCAGCAGUGGGCUGAUCUCUCCUUGGCCCUUGAAGUCAACCAGUCCCUGACAGCAGCUGUGCUUUCGAUCUGGGGCCACAGACGAGCAAUGGUCAUGCCUGACUUGGCUGUAUGGAACCUCUCGCUGAUGUGAACACCUGUUCCCAUGUUUAGAUCCAGGCCGAUGGCCUGUGAAUUUUGUUCUUCUCUCAUUCCUAUUCCUUCAUAGGAUCACCAGUGCAUGAUAGAAGGUUGGAAAACUGUCACCUUACAGAAGCCAAUUGCAAGGACCUUGCUGCUGUGUUGGUUGUCAGCCGGGAGCUGACACACCUGUGCUUGGCCAAGAACCCCAUUGGGAAUACAGGGGUGAAGUUUCUGUGUGAGGGCUUGAGGUACCCCGAGUGUAAACUGCAGACCUUGGUGCUUUGGAACUGCGACAUAACUAGCGAUGGCUGCUGCGAUCUCACAAAGCUUCUCCAAGAAAAAUCAAGCCUGUUGUGUUUGGAUCUGGGGCUGAAUCACAUAGGAGUUAAGGGAAUGAAGUUCCUGUGUGAGGCUUUGAGGAAACCACUGUGCAACUUGAGAUGUCUGUGG
rnacentral:lncRNA from 1 species